rnacentral:rRNA from 1 species
CCUACGGGUGGCAGCAGUGAGGAAUAUUGGUCAAUGGACGAGAGUCUGAACCAGCCAAGUAGCGUGAAGGAUGACUGCCCUAUGGGUUGUAAACUUCUUUUAUAUGGGAAUAAAAUGUUCCACGUGUGGGAUUUUGUAUGUACCAUAUGAAUAAGGAUCGGCUAACUCCGUGCCAGCAGCCGAGGUAAUACGGAGGAUCCGAGCGUUAUCCGGAUUUAUUGGGUUUAAAGGGAGCGUAGGUGGAUUGUUAAGUCAGUUGUGAAAGUUUGCGGCUCAACCGUAAAAUUGCAGUUGAAACUGGCAGUCUUGAGUACAGUAGAGGUGGGCGGAAUUCGUGGUGUAGCGGUGAAAUGCUUAGAUAUCACGAAGAACUCCGAUUGCGAAGGCAGUUCACUGGACUGCAACUGACACUGAGGCUCGAAAGUGUGGGUAUCAAACAGAAUUAGAUACCCGGGUAGUC